CAGUCGCCACGGGAAUGCGAAGGGGGCUAGCGUUGUUCGGAUUUACUGGGCGUAAAGCGCACGUAGGCGGAUCGAUCAGUCAGGGGUGAAAUCCUGGAGCUCAACUCCAGAACUGCCUUUGAUACUGUCGAUCUCGAGUCCGGAAGAGGUGAGUGGAACUCCUAGUGUAGAGGUGGAAUUCGUAGAUAUUAGGAAGAACACCAGUGGCGAAGGCGGCUCACUGGUCCGGUACUGACGCUGAGGUGCGAAAGCGUGGGGAGCAAACAGGAUUAGAUACCCCCGUAGUCCCUGUCUCUUAUAC
rnacentral:rRNA from 1 species